GCCCUUGUAGCUCAGUUUGAAUAGAGCGCUUCCCCCCUAAGGAAGAGGUCGUAGGUUUAAAUCCUAUCAGGGGCG
rnacentral:tRNA from 1 species